AAUGUCAGUAUAUAAUAGAAUAGAAUAGAAUAGAAUAGAAUAGAAUGACUUUCCAGGAAUUUGUAUUACAUCAGCAGAACUACUGACACAUCAGAGAGAUACAAAACAUAUUUACAUAAAUUCAUUGGUUUAGGUAUCUUCACAUUUGUU